GCGGCGCCGGGUCGACGACGUGGACCGUCAGCCGUGCCCCGGCGGGGAGCAGCUCCGGCGCGGAGGCGCAGAGGCGUUCCAGGACGCUGGUGCCGCGC
rnacentral:tRNA from 1 species